UCCUCCCGCCUCGCCUUGAAGGUCAGAGCUCUGGCGAAGGGGAUUACUGCCUCUCGCUCCUGCUCGAAGACGCAGCCUCGCACCUCGCCGCCAUUAGCAAACCACUGAUACUUUGAAUCCUUGUGGGUGGCCCUUCUCCCUUUUCAAUGUGUGGCACUCACGUUCCUUCCACGGCGACGAAUCACACGCAGUCAGGGACCAAUCACACACAGUCAGUUGGGUGAGGAAUUUACGAGAAGGCACUUAUAUGAACAUCGUUGCUAUUGCAUCACAAGCGAGCUUUUUUCACACAGGCUUGCGUGAGCUACGCGUGCUUGGGGAGGAGGGGGAUUAGGGGAGCGCGGCGGAGAUGAGAAUGAAGACGUUGGCGUGCUGCCGGCGGCCGCCGCAAGACUUUUCCUUCGGUAGAAAGGUAGAUGCUUUUUUUCCCUUUUUUUGUUUCUUAUGAGUAUGUAAUUGUAUUGUUAGAUUGAGUCCUCUCCUCCCUAAUUGGAUAAGCUAAGCUAGGUCCAACAGACUCCUAAUGGCCUCUGAUUUUCACGUUCUUCUUGCUCAUGUUGUUUUAGUUUUCUAAUUAAUUGGAACGCUAAGGAGGGAUUGCCGUGCUGCUACAUCACACAAUUAGCAGGUUUUUUUCUCUAAAAUUUGUUCAUCUUAUUUUUCUUCAUCCAUAGAUUGCAUUAUGUUUUAACAACUGUUGACCAUGUAUAGGAUUGACUGAUAAAUUCAAAUUAUUUGCUUUCUGUCUAAGAUGAACAUUACUUUUG